rnacentral:rRNA from 1 species
AUGGAGUGGAGGCCAUUGCCCCGAGGAGUUCCAUGUCCGAGUCGUCGACAAGGUACGGUGCGUCAUCGCCGACAACAUGGAGGCGAGUCACCGGCGAGUUGCAUCACCGGCAACGAACAUGGAGGCGAGUCACCGGCGAGUUGCGGCACUGGUGGCGAAUAUGGAGGCGAGUCACUGGCGAGUUGCGGCACCGGUGAUGACCAUGGAGGUGAGUCACCGGCGAGUUGCGGCACUGGUGGCAAACAUGCGGCAGGGAGCAUGCCACGGCAGCACGCUCGUGGUGAAGGCGCGGGAGGUGUGGCUCUCAUUGAAACUAGCGCGUUAGCGACAAUAGGUGUGACAAGAUGGCAUUGGUGGUCGUCUCCGUGUUGCACCGACGACAUCGACGACCAUGGGCUUCAAGAGAGGAAUAAGAGACAACAAGGUUAA